AGCAUGGCCAAGGGUCAUGGUGGUGGUCAUGGUCAUGGUCAUGGAGGCGGUCAUGGAGGUGGAAAGGGUCAUGGCGGCAAAGGUCAUGGUGGUGGCCAUGGGGGCAAGGGACACGGAGGCCAUGGUGGCGGACACGGGGGCAAAGGACAUGGAGGCGGCCAUGGAGGAAAGGGGCACCAUGGAUAAACAUAGCAGCUGAAAGAUGUGUCACGAGAAAGCCCUUGUUUUUUAUUCCACUGCUGCUGGACAACGGGGAAACAACAACUCAUGUAAAACAUGAUGAUCUUGUAUUUUGUUUGACCAGACCUCUGAAUAAAAAUACACUCCAAAGUGUUAAAUCUGA